rnacentral:rRNA from 1 species
GAUGAACGCUGGCGGCGUGCCUAAUACAUGCAAGUCGAGCGAACGGACGAGAAGCUUGCUUUUCUGAUGUUAGCGGCGGACGGGUGAGUAACACGUGGAUAACCUACCUAUAAGACUGGGAUAACUUCGGGAAACCGGAGCUAAUACCGGAUAAUAUUUUGAACCGCAUGGUUCAAAAGUGAAAGACGGUCUUGCUGUCACUUAUAGAUGGAUCCGCGCUGCAUUAGCUAGUUGGUAAGGUAACGGCUUACCAAGGCAACGAUGCAUAGCCGACCUGAGAGGGUGAUCGGCCACACUGGAACUGAGACACGGUCCAGACUCCUACGGGAGGCAGCAGUAGGGAAUCUUCCGCAAUGGGCGAAAGCCUGACGGAGCAACGCCGCGUGAGUGACGAAGGUCUUCGGAUCGUAAAACUCUGCUAUUAGGGAAGAACAUAUGUGUAAGUAACUGUGCACAUCUUGACGGUACCUAAUCAGAAAGCCACGGCUAACUACGUG